GAACAACUCAGGGCUUUGGAACCAGGCAGGAGCGCGUGUGUGUGUUGUAUCUCUUUGUGACACUAUGGACUGUAGCCCACAAGGCUCUUCUGUCCAGGGGAUUUUCCAGGGAAGAAUACUGGAGUGUGUUGCCAUUUCCUCCUCCAGGGAAUCUUCCCGACCCAGGGAUCAAACCCACAUCUUUUGCAUCUCCUGCAUUGGCAGACAGAUUCUUUACCACUGCACCACUGGGGAAGCCCUUGGAACCAGGCAGAUCUGGCUUCACGUCCCAACAUGCUUACUUCUCAGUUACAACCGUGGGCAUUACUUAGACCUCCUGACCCUCAGCCCUUCCUUGUGUUGAAAUAGUGGUAGUGGUGCCAUUCUCACAGAAAGAGUGGCUGUUAGGAUUGAACACAAUGGAGAACAAAGCACUCAGGACGGCGGGGAGCACAGGCAGAGCUCAGGAAAUGCUAGUCGCUAGGCGGGGGUGUUAUUAUCAGAGUCAUUUAUAAAAUCUCUCAGCAACAUGAUCAGGUUUUCUUUGGAUCUGAGUAUGCCAUCCUAUUGUUUAAUUCCUCACCUUGACCAAUGCUCAACUCUUUUGCCAUUUUCCACGUGUGUUUGUUUUUUCGUUGCUGGUAUUAUCUAUUUAUAAUUGUGGUUUUGUAAACCAUUUCUUAAAAUGCUCCUGUCCUUUAAGAGAUAGUAUAUAGAGGAGAGAACAGCAGGCAGAAGGGAGUAGGGGAGGAUGGGAACAGGGCUGGAAUCUAUUUCUUGGCAAAGCCGCUCGGCCACUCUGGGACUUCUUCCCACAUGUGCCAAUUGAGGAGUUUUGGCAAAAGUGAGAUCCCUUAGUGCUUAAAUGCACUGUGUGCAUAAACCCUCUGCUCUUCAAUCCUGGGACAGUAGAUGCUCUUCAGCAGAGAGAGAUUGAUCUCAAGUGCUGGGUAUUUUUCUCUCAGCACAUGAGCUGCCAGUUUCUUAGGCUGUCCCCCCCCCAGGACCAAGAUGAGGUGAGAGAGCCAUGGAGAUUUAAGGUUAAAAGGAGUCACCAGAAAGGGUUUACACAAAAAGAAGAUCAACGAAUCUUAUUCAUUUUUGUAAAAUGCUUACCACUCUAGAGGAGCAGUUGGUACCUAAGAAG
ensembl:lncRNA